rnacentral:rRNA from 1 species
AUUGAACGCUGGCGGCAUGCUUUACACAUGCAAGUCGAACGGUAACAGGGAGCUUGCUCCGCUGACGAGUGGCGAACGGGUGAGUAAUAUAUCGGAACGUACCCAAGAGUGGGGGAUAACGUAGCGAAAGUUACGCUAAUACCGCAUACGAUCUAAGGAUGAAAGCAGGGGAUCUUCGGACCUUGUGCUCCUGGAGCGGCCGAGAUCUGAUUAGCUAGUUGGUGAGGUAAAGGCUCACCAAGGCGACGAUCAGUAGCUGGUCUGAGAGGACGACCAGCCACACUGGAACUGAGACACGGUCCAGACUCCUACGGGAGGCAGCAGUGGGGAAUUUUGGACAAUGGGCGCAAGCCUGAUCCAGCAAUGCCGCGUGAGUGAAGAAGGCCUUCGGGUUGUAAAGCUCUUUUGUCAGGGAAGAAACGGGAGUGGCUAAUAUCCAUUCCUAAUGACGGUACCUGAAGAAUAAGCACCGGCUAACUACGUGCCAGCAGCCGCCGCGGUAA